UACGUAGGCAGCGAGCGUUGUUCGGAGUUACUGGGCGUAAAGGGUGUGUAGGCGGUUGUUUAAGCUUGGUGUGAAAUCUCCCGGCUCAACUGGGAGGGUGCGCCGAAUACUGACUGACUUGGAGUGCGGGAGAGGUGAGUGGAAUUCCUGGUGUAGCGGUGAAAUGCGUAGAUAUCAGGAGGAACACCGGUGGUGUAGACGGCUCACUGGACCGUAACUGACGCUGAGACACGAAAGCGUGGGUAGCAAACAGG
rnacentral:rRNA from 1 species